rnacentral:RNase_P_RNA from 1 species
GAAGUCCGCCAGGCAGUCGCUGCAUGCGUUCGCAUGUGGAGGAAAGUCCGGGCCCCGCAGGGCAGGAUGCCGGCUAACGGCCGGGCGCCGUGAGGCGACGGAAAGUGGAACAGAAAGCAAACCGCCGAUGGCGGACCGGGCUUCGCGGCCGCAAGGCCGCAAAGUCUCUUCCAGGGGCAGCAGUGUCCUUGGCACGGUUCGAUCAGGUAAGGGUGAAACGGUGUCAGGCCGAGCGUGAGCGAGGGCUGGCGCAUUGCGCGAGCAAUGCGGGGUAAGAGCCCACCGCAGGACUGGCGACAGGACUGGCACGCUAAACCCCAUCCGGGGCAAGGCCAAAUAGGGGGGCGUCGAUGCGGCCCGCAGAGCCCCCGGGUAGGCUGCUAGAGCGGCACAGCAAUGUGUCGCCCAGAGGAAUGACUGCCCCGUAGCCGCAAGGCUGCGCGACAGAACCCGGCUUAUCGGCGGACUUCCCUC